rnacentral:rRNA from 1 species
GUCGAACGAUGAACCAGGAGCUUGCUCUUGGGGAUUAGUGGCGAACGGGUGAGUAACACGUGAGUAACCUGCCCUUGACUCUGGGAUAACCUCCGGAAACGGAAGCUAAUACCGGAUACGAACUGCGGAGGCAUCUCCAGCAGUUGGAAAGAACUUCGGUCAAGGAUGGACUCGCGGCCUAUCAGGUAGUUGGUGAGGUAACGGCCCACCAAGCCUACGACGGGUAGCCGGCCUGAGAGGGUGACCGGCCACACUGGGACUGAGACACGGCCCAGACUCCUACGGGAGGCAGCAGUGGGGAAUAUUGCACAAUGGGCGCAAGCCUGAUGCAGCAACGCCGCGUGAGGGAUGACGGCCUUCGGGUUGUAAACCUCUUUUAGUAGGGAAGAAGCGAAAGUGACGGUACCUGCAGAAAAAGCACCGGCUAACUACGUGCCAGCAGCCGCGGUAAUACGUAGGGUGCGAGCGUUGUCCGGAAUUAUUGGGCGUAAAGAGCUCGUAGGCGGUCUGUCGCGUCUGCUGUGAAAACCCGAGGCUCAACCUCGGGCCUGCAGUGGGUACGGGCAGACUAGAGUGCGGUAGGGGAGAAUGGAAUUCCUGGUGUAGCGGUGGAAUGCGCAGAUAUCAGGAGGAACACCGAUGGCGAAGGCAGUUCUCUGGGCCGUAACUGACGCUGAGGAGCGAA